rnacentral:rRNA from 1 species
UAGGGAAUCUUCCGCAAUGGACGCAAGUCUGACGGAGCAACGCCGCGUGAGUGAAGAAGGAUUUCGGUUCGUAAAACUCUGUUGUUAGAGAAGAACAGCGCAUAGAGUAACUGUUAUGCGUGUGACGGUAUCUAACCAGAAAGCCACGGCUAACUACGUGCCAGCAGCCGCGGUAAUACGUAGGUGGCAAGCGCUGUCCGGAUUUAUUGAGCGUAAAGCGAGCGCAGGCGGUCAAUUAAGUCUGAUGUGAAAGCCCCCGGCUCAACCGGGGAGGGUCAUUGGAAACUGGUUGACUUGAGUGCAGAAGAGGAGAGUGGAAUUCCAUGUGUAGCGGUGAAAUGCGUAGAUAUAUGGAGGAACACCAGUGGCGAAGGCGACUCUCUGGUCUGUAACUGACGCUGAGGCUCGAAAGCGUGGGUAGCAAACAGG